rnacentral:rRNA from 1 species
AUGGGAUUCUAUAGCCUGCAUGGAUCCCUUCAUCAUGAGAUUGCUAAAUACCUAUCCCGAUUCUAUUGGGCUGGGGAGGGUGAUAGACAGAAGUACCACAUGGUGCAAUGGUCCGAGAUCUGCAAACCUAAGGACCAGGGCGGCCUUGGGGUAAUUCCAUCUAAACGGAUGAAUAUUGCACUUCUCUCCAAGUGGCUAUGGUGCAUCAAAACUGAAAGCACAAGUGCUCCCUGGGUGAUUUUGGUAAUUAAUGUCAACUUAUCUCUUAUUGGAUUAAUAUUUUCAUCUAGUAUAUUUCAGAAAGUUCAACAAAGGCGUGGCAUGGACAAGAGGAUGUGGAACCCCUUCAAGAUGCUAAGGACAGAAGAUUGGCAAAAGCUCAAGACUCUUCUUUUCUAUUUUAGUGAUCCAAGAUCACAUUGA